AUUGAACGCUGGCGGCAGGCCUAACACAUGCAAGUCGAACGGUAACAGGAAACAGCUUGCUGUUUCGCUGACGAGUGGCGGACGGGUGAGUAAUGUCUGGGAAACUGCCUGAUGGAGGGGGAUAACUACUGGAAACGGUAGCUAAUACCGCAUAACGUCGCAAGACCAAAGAGGGGGACCUUCGGGCCUCUUGCCAUCGGAUGUGCCCAGAUAGGAUUAGCUAGUAGGUGGGGUAACGGCUCACCUAGGCGACGAUCCCUAGCUGGUCUGAGAGGAUGACCAGCCACACUGGAACUGAGACACGGUCCAGACUCCUACGGGAGGCAGCAGUGGGGAAUAUUGCACAAUGGGCGCAAGCCUGAUGCAGCCAUGCCGCGUGUAUGAAGAAGGCCUUCGGGUUGUAAAGUACUUUCAGCGGGGAGGAAGGGAGUAAAGUUAAUACCUUUACUCAUUGACGUUACCCGCAGAAGAAGCACCGGCUAACUCCGUG
rnacentral:rRNA from 1 species